CGUGGGUAACCUGCCUUAUAGUGGGGGAUAGCCUUUCGAAAGGAAGAUUAAUACCGCAUAAGAUUGUAGUAUCGCAUGAUAUAGCAAUUAAAGGAGCAAUCCGCUAUAAGAUGGACCCGCGUCGCAUUAGCUAGUUGGUGAGGUGAUGGCUCACCAAGGCGACGAUGCGUAGCCGACUUGAGAGGGUGAUCGGCCACAUUGGGACUGAGACACGGUCCAGACUCCUACGGGAGGCAGCAUG
rnacentral:rRNA from 1 species